UACGGAGGGGGCUAGCGUUGUUCGGAAUUACUGGGCGUAAAGCGCACGUAGGCGGCGCGUCGAGUCGGGGGUGAAAGGCCUGGGCUCAACCCGGGAACGGCCUUCGAUACUGACGUGCUGGAGUCCGGGAGGGGGUGGCGGAAUUCCCAGUGUAGAGGUGAAAUUCGUAGAUAUUGGGAAGAACACCGGUGGCGAAGGCGGCCACCUGGCCCGGGACUGACGCUGAGGUGCGAAAGCGUGGGGAG
rnacentral:rRNA from 1 species